AGGUGCAGCCUCUCCCACGUGCACCUGCGAGGCCUACCCUUUCGCCCGUCUCAGGGCCUUGAUGCCCUCGCCUGUAAAGUUGGCAUCAGCGAAGACCCCAGACGGGAAGGGCUGAGUGAGCAGGAGUGCGAGUAUGUGAGUUGCCAAUGGAAGCGUUGUUAUGCCCAGCAUCAAACACCCUGCACUGACAGAAAUGUGAUUCCGGCAAGGUAAUAACUGCCACUCCCUGGGACUGUUUGACAUGACUCCAGGGCCACAGGGAGUGCAUGAGGAAGCUGGCAGUCCACCUACCACCCACUGUGAACCCAGACGGAGAAGACUUCCAGACCCACGCGGUAAUUCUGGGGGACUAGGACCUGCGAGGGAAGUUUGAUUCCCAGUCCAUCCGUCCCUGUCUGCCUGAUACAUGGUCACAACGUGCAUUCUGCUGCAAGGCCCCAGGGUUGAGUCCUGUGAAAUCCCCAUGAAAUCCGGGGACCACACAGCGUAACCGGGAGACAGGGAUAUGACAGGAAAAGUUAACCCACAGGAUGGGAGGUCCCAGGGCUGUGUGCACAGUGACAGGAGUGAUCACAAGAGUGCAUGGGGACUCACCCUGGCCAGAGACAGAAAGGUAUACGGGAAGGUUCCCCAGGGGAGCCGAGACUCUGUCCAGACCUCAAAGAAUUCGGAGAGGAGAGUGAGAGUGAGCCUGUAUCUGGGAUAACUGAAAAAAAAAAAAAUGACUGGCAAAAAAAAAAUCUCCAUGUGUGACAACUUACGUCACUACAACAAAGCGUGGAUUUGAGUUACUAGGUACUAAUGAGAGUUUUGGAAAAUGGACACAGCCCUGCAUUUAAAGGAAUUGUCUUUUCAUGCUGGCUGAUACCCUUGUAAACACACACACACACACACACACACACACACACCACACCACCUGACAUCUCCAUCUAACAUUCCAGGAUGGUGUCAGCCUUUCUGCUUCCUCCCUCAUCCCAUGUCUCCUAGAACUGCCAUGAAGCUGACAUGCAGCAUGUGCUCGCUGCUGGGCAUAGGUGGUCAGCCCAUGGCUCCUUCCUGUACGCGUUGCUGGCAGGUCCCGUGCCCCACGGCAGCUCCUGCCAUCAGUCACAUCUACUCCUCAGCCGCAUCUGUCAAGGGGCGCUGAGCAGGUGUGUCUGUGCUUCACUCAGGUCUCGUUAGUGGUUGUCAGUAAGCUGUGAAUUCUUCCAUAGAACCCUUAAAUCCUUCCUCAAUCCCCACAGCCCACGAGCAAGCCUCCUAAAUCCAAUCAGUUAACACAGCCCAGAAAGUGGAUCCAUUUGCAGGAAAGCUGUAAGCUUGCACCUAAUCGUCCUUCCCUAGGGGACUGGUUAGAGCAACUGUAGGACUGCAGGAAGGAGGCCUCCGUGGACAUGAAAACAUCAAGGAGAACAGUAUGUGUUGAUGUGGAAAUAUGUCCGUGACAUAUAUUGCUAAGUUUAAAAAACUUAGGCUCCAAACCAGCAGAUGAAUAUGAUUGCACUAGCUUUUGAAACGGUCGUGUUGGGUGAGUGUUUAUACAGAGAUGUCUGGGCCACCAAAUAUUCCCAGCAGUUACCGACAGAGUGACACCAGGAGGGUUCAAUUUGAAAAAUUGUCUUCUUUAUUUUUUUAAAUAUUUUUUCAGUGGUUGAAUUUUUGACAUGGGUAUGCAUUGUCUUCCUAAGAAGAAAAAGGAAAAAAAAAACCCAGCUAGGCAAUUUAUAAGCUUCCAUGGAGCAUUUUUGGUAAAUAAGAAGUGUGGGGUUUUCCAGGUAAAUGGAAUAUGCAAACCAUGGGUGCCGGGGCUGGGAGGAAGGGACAAGAGGGGACACUGCUUAGUUGCGUAGGGUUUCCUUUUGGGGUGGUGAAAUGUUAGGGAACUAGAGAGGGCUGGUGCAAGUUGUGAUUACACUGAACAUUCUGCAUUACUGAAUGCCACUGAACUGGACACUUGGAGAUGGUUAAUGUCCUGUUAUGUAAAUUUUGCCUCAAUAAAAAGUGCCAGAUUCUCUGGUAAAACAAGUCACCUAA